rnacentral:rRNA from 1 species
GACGAACGCUGGCGGCGUGCUUAACACAUACAAGUCGAGCGGUAAGGCCCUUUCGGGGGUACACGAGCGGCGAACGGGUGAGUAACACGUGGGUGACCUGCCCUCAGCUCUGGGAUAAGCCUGGGAAACCGGGUCUAAUACUGGAUAUGACUCCAUGACGCAUGUUGUGGGGUGGAAAGCCUUGUGCGGCUGAGGAUGGGCCCGCGGCCUAUCAGCUUGUUGGUGGGGUNAUGGCCUACCAAGGCGACGACGGUAGCCGGCCUGAGAGGGCGACCGGCCACACUGGGACUGAGACACGGCCCAGACUCCUACGGGAGGCAGCAGUGGGGAAUCUUGCGCAAUGGGCGAAAGCCUGACGCAGCGACGCCGCGUGAGGGAUGAC